rnacentral:rRNA from 1 species
GCAUUACACGUAAGUGUGACAGGGCUAUCCCGAGUGCCAUCCGCUGAGGAAGGCUUUUACCCAGUCUAGAACGCUGGGGGAAUAAGGAGAGGGCAAGUCUGGUGUCAGCCGCCGCGGUAAUACCAGCUCUCCGAGUGGUGUGGAUGUUUAUUGGGCCUAAAGCAUCCGUAGCUGGCUAAGUUAGUCCCUUGUUAAAUCCACCGAAUUAAUCGUUGGAUUGCGGGGGAUACUGCUUGGCUAGGGGACGAGAGAGGCAGACGGUAUUUUUGGGGUAGGGGUGAAAUCCUAUAAUCCCAGGAAGACCACCAGUGGCGAAGGCUGUCUGCUAGAACGCGCCCGACGGUGAGGGAUGAAAGCUGGGGGAGCGAACCGGAUUAGAUACCCGGGUAGUCCCAGCUGUAAACGAUGCAGGCUAGGUGUUUGGACGGCCACGUGCCGUUCUAGUGCCGCAGGGAAGCUGUUAAGCCUGCCGCCUGGGGAGUACGAUCGCAAGAUUGAAACUUAAAGGAAUGCGGGGGGGAACAC